rnacentral:piRNA from 1 species
UGUCAAUAGAAUUUAGUUUUU